rnacentral:rRNA from 1 species
ACGCUCGACACCUACGGGAAGCAGCAGUGGGGAAUAUUGCACAAUGGGGGAAACCCUGAUGCAGCGACGCCGCGUGAGUGAAGAAGUAUUUCGGUAUGUAAAGCUCUAUCAGCAGGGAAGAAGAUGACGGUACCUGAGUAAGAAGCCCCGGCUAACUACGUGCAGCAGCCGGCGGUAAUCUGAGGCGGGCUGGCAAGGC